AUUGAACGCUGGCGGCAUGCCUUACACAUGCAAGUCGAACGGCAGCACGGGUGCUUGCACCUGGUGGCGAGUGGCGAACGGGUGAGUAAUACAUCGGAACGUACCUUAUCGUGGGGGAUAACGCAGCGAAAGUUGCGCUAAUACCGCAUACGCCCUGAGGGGGAAAGCGGGGGACCGUAAGGCCUCGCGCGAUUAGAGCGGCCGAUGUCUGAUUAGCUUGUUGGUGAGGUAAAAGCUCACCAAGGCGAUGAUCAGUAGCUGGUCUGAGAGGACGAACAGCCACACUCGGACUGAGACACGGCCCAGACUCCUACGGGAGGCAGCAGUGGGGAAUUUUGGACAAUGGGGGCAACCCUGAUCCAGCAAUGCCGCGUGAGUGAAGAAGGCCUUCGGGUUGUAAAGCUCUUUUGUCAGGGAAGAAACAGCAGCUCUAACACAGUCUGCGAAUGACGGUACCUGAAGAAUAAGCACCGGCUAACUACGUGCCAGCAGCCGCCGUAA
rnacentral:rRNA from 1 species